GGUCAAAUUCUUGUGCAAGACGAUGAACUACUGACUGUUCCUUCUUCAGAUGGACAAAUGCAUAUGCAGCCAAUACCUCCUCCUCCAGGGUUUAUAAUACCACCAUCUUCUAACCUGCCUUAUGGAAUAAGACCUAUCGGUUGCCCGCCCGGACUGGAA